UACGGAGGAUGCAAGCGUUAUCCGGAAUGAUUGGGCGUAAAGCGUCCGCAGGUGGCGAUGUAAGUCUGCUGUUAAAGAGUGAGGCUCAACCUCAUAAAAGCAGUGGAAACUACACAGCUAGAGUGCGGUAGGGGCAGAGGGAAUUCCUGGUGUAGCGGUGAAAUGCGUAGAGAUCAGGAAGAACACCGGUGGCGAAAGCGCUCUGCUAGGCCGCAACUGACACUGAGGGACGAAAGCUAGGGGAGCGAAUGGG
rnacentral:rRNA from 1 species